rnacentral:rRNA from 1 species
AUUGAACGCUGGCGGCAGGUCUAACACAUGCAAGUCGAGCGGAGCGGCGGACGGGUGAGUAAUGCCUAGGAAUCUGCCUGGUAGUGGGGGAUAACGUCCGGAAACGGGCGCUAAUACCGCAUACUAUCAGAUGAGCCUAGGGCGUAUUAGCUAGUUGGUGGGGUAAAGGCCUACCAAGGCGAGGAUCCGUAAAUUGUCUGAGAGGAGAACCAGGCACACUUGAACGGCGACACGGUCCAGACUCCGACGGGAGGUAGAAGUGGGGAAUAGUGGACAAUGGGCGAAAGCCUGAUCCAGCCAUGCCGCGUGUGUGAAGAAGGUCUUCGGAUUGUAAAGCACUUUAAGUUGGGAGGCGUUACCAACAGAAUAAGCACCGGCUAACUUCGUGCCAGCAGCCGCGGUAAUAC